UACGUAGGGUGCGAGCGUUAAUCGGAAUUACUGGGCGUAAAGUGUGCGCAGGCGGCCGCGCAAGUCGAGUGUGAAAGCCCCGAGCUUAACUUGGGAAUUGCGCUCGAAACUACGUGGCUGGAGUGUGGCAGAGGAAGGUGGAAUUCCAGGUGUAGCGGUGAAAUGCGUAGAUAUCUGGAGGAACACCGGUGGCGAAGGCGGCAUCCUGGACCGAUAUUGACGCUGAUGCGCGAAAGCCAGGGGAGCAAACGGG
rnacentral:rRNA from 1 species